rnacentral:rRNA from 1 species
UCGAGGAUCUUCGGCAAUGGGCGCAAGCCUGACCGAGCGACGCCGCGUGUGCGAUGAAGGCCUUCGGGUUGUAAAGCACUGUCGAGGGGAAGAAAGCCGCAAGGUUGAUCGACCCCUGGAGGAAGCACGGGCUAAGUUCGUGCCAGCAGCCGCGGUAAGACGAACCGUGCGAACGUUGUUCGGAAUCACUGGGCUUAAAGGGCGCGUAGGCGGGUGAUCAAGUCAGGGGUGAAAUCCUGCGGCUUAACCGUAGAAGAGCCUUUGAUACUGGUUGUCUAGAGGGAGAUAGGGGCAUGUGGAACUUCCGGUGGAGCGGUGAAAUGCGUAGAUAUCGGAAGGAACGCCGGUGGCGAAAGCGACGUGCUGGAUCUCUUCUGACGCUGAGGCGCGAAAGCUAGGGGAGCAAACGGGAUUAGAUACCCCUGUAGUCC